rnacentral:rRNA from 1 species
UACGAAGGGGGCUAGCGUUGCUCGGAUUGACUGGGCGAAAGGGCGCGUAGGCGGUUCGUACAGUCAGACGUGAAAUCCUGGGCUCAACCUGGGGGCUGCGUUUGAUACGUGCGGGCUUGAGUGCGGAAGAGGGUCGUGGAAUUCCCAGUGUAGAGGUGAAAUUCGUAGAUAUUGGGAAGAACACCGGUGGCGAAGGCGGCGACCUGGUCCGAUACUGACGCUGAGGCGCGAAAGCGUGGGGAGCAAACAGG